UGAGAGUACUGUUAUGGUUUUGUGUCAUAUAUGUGAUAGCCUUGUCAUGUAUCAAACCAUAAUUAUUUUUACCCGUUCAAAAAAGAUGACUGCAUGUGCAUGUGCAUUGCCGCCAUCUCCCCUCCCAAAUCCCAAUGCGCCCACCCAAUUGCUCGUUCUCCUCCUUGCGCACUGAAUCAGCACUCGAUUCGCAGUGCUCAUCCGCAACUAACACUGAAUAGCUGUGAGAUCCGCUCCAAAGAGCAGCUGCACCCACCAUAUAAACUGCAGCCAUGGAGAAAUGCAUAGGAACGUUGAAUAGAGGUUGGGCGCGGAGGUGGAAGAGGCAGUAGAGGAGAAGUUGGCGCCAAGGUGGAGGGGGCCGUCAGCGAGGUGCUGAUGGGCGGCAUGGUUUUUUGGGUGAGCCUCCGUGGCAAGGAUAGGGGCGCUGUGGUUCAAGAAGGGGGCUCUUUCCUCCCUGACACCGAGGAGCAGGUGCCCUCCAUGAUGGUGGCACACUCGCCUGGAUCAUCCAUCUUUGAGACUGAGGAUCAGCCUCUGAAUGUCGUUAAGGAGCUGGUCGAGGACAAUGAAGGAUAGGGAAGCGAUGCGUGGAAGGACUUAGGCAGCCACGCUCAACCACUGGAAGAAGAAGCAGAUGCCGACCUCCCUGAUGCUCAUGAACAAGAUGAUGGUGCCAGCAAUAAGCUUUGCGAGGUUAGAGAUAGUAUGUUGAUGAUUUUAGUGCCAUUGUAUUUCCAGAAUAAUGAUGGCAACUAGUACUUCCUAGAUUCUAGUGAUUCUUAUCAUCCAUUAGUCAUUGUAGAAAUAAGAAUAUUUUUGCUUUGGGAAAUCCAUUGAGAUAACUUGAAUGGUACUGCAAACUUGAUUGUACUUGUCACUGGAUCCAUUUAACAAAUGCAUGCAUGGAUCCAUAUGUGUAACGUUUUUUUAUUGAAGGCA